rnacentral:rRNA from 1 species
GAUGAACGCUGACAGCAUGCUUAACACAUGCAAGUCUUUGGCGAAGCUGUGCUUGCACAGCCUAGCCAAGGCGGACGGGUGAGUAACGCGUAAGGAACUUGCCCUGCAGUCAGGGAUAACAGACGGAAACGACUGAUAAGACCUGGUAAAGUCAGGCGGACUCAUGUCCAGCCUGAUGAAAAGAGAUGCUGCAGGAGAGCCUUGCGUCCUAUUAGCUUGUUGGUGGGGUAACGGCCCACCAAGGGGAUGAUAGGUAGCCGGCCGGAGAGGGUGGACGGCCACAAGGGGAAUGGGAGGCGGCACUUACUCCUACGGGAGGCAGCAGGGGGGAAUAUUGGACAAAGGGGGCAACCCUGAUCCAGCAAUUCUGUGUGCACGAUGAAGGUUUUCGGAUUGUAAAGUGCUUUCAGCAGGGAAGAAAAAAAUGACGGUACCUGCAGAAGAAGCGACGGCUAAAUACGUG